rnacentral:rRNA from 1 species
GACGAACGCUGGCGGCGUGCCUAAUACAUGCAAGUAGGACGCAGUUGCGAACGGGUGAGUAACGCGUAGGUAACUACCUAUUAGAGGGGGAUAACUAUUGGAAACGAUAGCUAAUACCGCAUACUAGUAUAUGGACCUGCGUUGUAUUAGCUAGUAGGUUGGUGAAAGGCCUACAUAGACAACGAUACAUAGCAGACCUGAGAGGGUGCUCGGCCACACUGGGACUGUGACACGGCCCAGACUCCUACGGGAGUCAGCAGUAGGGAAUCUUCGGCAAUGGGGGGAACCAUGACCGAGCAAAGCCGCGUGAGUGAAGAAGGUUUUCGGAUCGUAAAGCUCUGUUGUUAAGGAAGCGGUACUUAAAGAGAAAGGGACGGCUAACUACGUGCCAGCAGCCGCGGUAAUAG